rnacentral:rRNA from 1 species
ACGGCUCAGUAACACGUAGCUAACCUGCCCUCAAGCCCAUGAUACCCUCGGGAAACUGAGGCUAAACAUGGAUAGAUGAUGGAUUCUGGAAUGAUUUAUCGUCGAAAAUUCGCGGGAGGAUGGGGCUGCGGCGGAUUAGGUAGUUGGCGGGGUAAAUGCCCACCAAGCCGAUGAUCCGUAAGGGCCUUUAGCGAGGAAGCCCUGAGAGGGAAUCUGAGACACUAUUCCCAGCCCUACGGGGUGCAGCAGUCGGGAGAAUUUUGCAAUACACGAAAGUGUGACAGAGCAAGCCAGAGUGCUUUUCUAUAAUUGAAAAGCUUUUGCGGGAUGCAAAAAGUCCCGCGAAUAGGGACUGGGCAAGACUGGUGCCAGCCGCCGCGGUAAUCCCAGCAGUCCAAGUCGCAGCCACAUUUGUUGGGUCUAAAAUAUCCGUAGCUCGCCUUUCAAGUCUCUUGUGAAAUCAGGACUCUUAAGGUUCUGGCGUGCAAGAGAUACUGUUUGGCUUGAGACCGGGAGACGCAAGAAGUACAUUUAGGGUAGCGGUAAAAUGUGUUGAUCCUAUAUGGACUAACAAUAGCGAAGGCAUCUUGCGAGAACGGUUCUGACAGUGAGGGAUGAAGGCUAGGGGCGCAAAGUGGAUUAGAUACCCAUGUAGUCCUAGCAGUAAACACUGCACACUGAACAUUAGUGCCUCCUCGAGAGGCAUUAGUGCUGUAGGGAAGCCGGAGAGUGUGCUACCUGGGAAGUAUAGUCGCAAGACCGAAACUUAAAGGAAUUGGCGGGGGAGCAC